UCAAUAACAUAAAUAAACGUCUAUUUUGUCGAUUCCAGACACAGUGCUAAACGCCUGGCUCAAAGAACGCCUCCGUAGUGAAACGCCGGCCACCAUCCGCAAACAGCUUCGCGCAAACGUCAUUGCCGUGGAUAUUCCUGCAGAUGUAGAAACGCAACCAUUUCUAAAGAUAGAGAAACUCGGCCCUGUUCCAGUGCAAGCCUACGUCACUCCUCCGAGAGACGCGAUCAAAGGCGUCAUAUAUGGCGUAAGCACAGAAUUUACUGACGAAGACAUUCGAGCUACAAUUCGCCCCCUGCAAGGCGGGCCAAAAAUUUUGAAUG
rnacentral:lncRNA from 1 species